CCGGUAGCUCGUCAGGCUCAUAACCUGAAGGUCGUAGGUUCAAAUCCUACCCCCGCAA
rnacentral:tRNA from 1 species